rnacentral:rRNA from 1 species
AAUGAACGCUGGCGGCAUGCCUAACACAUGCAAGUCGAACGAACGGACGGGAAGCUUGCUUCUCUGAUGUUAGCGGCGGACGGGUGAGUAACACGUGGAUAACAUACCUCUAAGACUUGGAUAACUUCGGGAAACAGGAGCUAAUACUGGAUGAUAUUUUGUACCGCAUGGUUCAAAAGUGCAUGACGGUUUUGCUGUCACUUAUAGAUGGAUCCGCGCUGCAUUAGCUAGUUGGUAAGGUAACGGCUUACCAAGGCUACGAUGCAUAGCCGACCUGAGAGGGUGAUCGGCCACACUGGAACUGAGACACGGUCCAGACUCCUACGGGAGGCAGCAGUAGGGAAUCUUCCGCAAUGGGCGAAAGCCUGACGGAGCAACGCCGCGUGAGUGAUGAAGGUCUUCGGGUCGUAAAGCUCUGUUAUUAGGGAAGAACAUAUGUGUAAUUAACUGUGCACAUCUUGACGGUACCUAAAGAAUAAGCCCCGGCUAACUACGUG